CCGGUCUAUCCUUAUAUCGUGAGGACGUUACAAUGAGCCAUUCUGAGGGACUCCGUCUCGCCUCAAAGUUCAUCACCAUCUGAAGGAUCGGGGAUCUUCUCGUGAUUUUUUUGAAAAAAUACAAGACGUUUCUAAUCCAUACCUCAACUAUUUUUGACGUGUAUGAGAUAAUGGAUUCUUCAAAAUGACGUUUGUAUCCGCUGGUUUCAUGCCAUUGCUAAUACCAAGCUCUUCGAACCUUCACCUUACGAUAUGUAUAGGGACCAAUACUAACACUCGAACCUUGCUUAAUCUUUGGGUCUGAAUUGACUUCUAAGGCAAUGAAAGCAGGGGUCGGAGGACCGAGAUAAUUACGUUUGAAAUCUCGUCCAGAGAAUAUCCACCGUGUUCCAUGGGAUACAAAGAAGUUAUUCAACACAAGGCUCAUGUCUGACAUAUAUUGACCUGCAGAAGUAAUCUUUGUAUUACUAAGGCACUCAUUCCUACUGUUCAAUCGAGUAUUAUAAUUCAGUGUGAUAUAAAAUUUAUUGUGUUGGCUUGUGAGUUUACUCACAACCCUAGUUUUGUUGCAUGUAGUAUAUUAUCAUUAUUCAUUGUUGAGUUUCCUACAUAUAAGUUAUAAGUAGGAAACUCAACUCAUUAUAAGUUAUAAGUUUAUAUUAUCAUUAUUCAUUGUUGUGUUUCCUACUUCGAUCCAUUUUGGGUUUAAUAAAGACUACAUUUAGUAA
rnacentral:lncRNA from 1 species